rnacentral:rRNA from 1 species
UACGUAGGGUGCGAGCGUUGUCCGGAAUUAUUGGGCGUAAAGGGCUCGUAGGCGGUUUGUCGCGUCGGGACGUGAAAACCUGCGGCUCAACUGCAGGCUGGCGGUCGAUACGGGCAGGCUGGAGUUCGGUAGGGGAGACUGGAAUUCCUGGUGUAGCGGUGAAAUGCGCAGAUAUCAGGAGGAACACCGGUGGCGAAGGCGGGUCUCUGGGCCGAUACUGACGCUGAGGAGCGAAAGCGUGGGGAGCGAACAGG